AUUGAACGCUGGCGGCGUGCCUAAUACAUGCAAGUAGGACGCAGUUGCGAACGGGUGAGUAACGCGUAGGUAACUGCCUAUUAGAGGGGGAUAACUAUUGGAAACGAUAGCUAAUACCGCAUACUAGUAGAUGGACCUGCGUUGUAUUAGCUAGUAGGUAGGGUAAUGGCCUACCUAGGCGCCGAAACAUAGCCGACCUGGUAGGGUGAUCGGGCAACCUGGGAAUGAGACACGGCCCAGACCUCUGCGGGAGGCAGCAGUAGGGAAGCUUCGGACAUGGGGGGAAACCUGACCGAGCAACGCCGCGUGAGUGAAGAAGGUUUUCGGAUCGUAAAGCUCUGUUGUUAAGGAAGCGGUACUUAACCAGAAAGGGACGGCUAACUACGUGCCAGCAGCCGCGGUAAUUC
rnacentral:rRNA from 1 species